CGACUAACCGGCCCCGUUAGAGGGCCCCAGUGAGAUUGGUGGGCUGCAGUCACAUGGUAUACGCAACCGUCUCGUCUGAUGAUGAUGCACGUAAUCGACGUCCGAACAGGAAACGUUUCGUGGAAUGUUUUUAAAAACAGAAGGAACGUGUUGUACCUUUUAACAAACAAUAUUAUGUUAGCUUUGAUGAUCGGUCCUGUGUCGUGACUUUUGCUUUGCUAAAACAACGGUCCAAACCAGCGAUGGAUUAUUGAAAUGUACAUGGACAAAGCUAACAAACUAUAGUAACAUCACUUUAACAAACGUGGUAGCUCCGAUUUCCAAUCGAUGUAUAAUGUGGCCUCUUCAUUUUCAACUGGGAAGGACCUGCAUGGACUUGAGAAUACAGAGCCAAUCGUUUUUUUUGUGAGUGUCUCAGAGAUCCCACCUUUGGAGCAGUUGUCAGGAGCCUCAAGGCGGUGCCGUUCGUCUUGGUCCCAUUCCUCUAGCACCUAGCGUUACCGCGCCAGAAGAGAGAAACCUUGUACGUUUCGAACAGUUUAUCUCCUUCCAGGAAUAAUCCACCGACUCCAAACUGAUCCUGGCUUGUUUGUGAUGUCCCGUUGUUCAACAUAUUCUGAUUUCAUACUUAUCGGACCAACAUAAAAGUUCAAGAGGGAUCUCUCGUAUGCAGUGCUGCUCCUUUGCCUCGUCAAGGUUUGAAGAGACAGAGGACGGUGGUGCAAAAGAGAAGGAGGGCCAGCCGGGCCUCGUGGAGUUCAAUCAGUGGCAGGAUGAAGAAUCGGUGCAGUGGUGAGGCUGGAGCACCCCUGGCUUUUGCCGUAUGGGUUGACUUCAGCAGUGAGUCACCCACCUUCAAUUUCACAGAUGCUUUGGGGGUGAGAGGCCAUACGUUGACCCUGAUAUCAGUGGCACAUAUUGCCGGCUGGCAAUUGGUCGUCUGAUAAAAGAACAUGCACUGAGUCAGGGUUUGUCUCGGCCUGAAUAUCUGCCACAACACAGGCCGCCUUGGUGGCCCUUUGCCUCAGUCAGUGACGGAAAAGGUGAAGGGCGUAAAGCUUUCACUGCUGAAAAGCUGAGGCAGGUGGUACGCUCAUACAAUGCGUAUUACAAUCUCCAGCAGUCUGUUGAGGCACCACCAUCACCCCCAUCACCAGCACCAGCAACACCAGCAGCAGCAGAAACACCUGCUGCGCCUCUCACCCCCCUCACCCCCUCCAACCCCCACCCCACCCCACCCCACCCCAUGAGGUAAGGACGCUGGGGCACAGCGCCUCUCACCCCCCCCCAUGAGGCAAGGACGCUGGGCACCAGCAGCAGCAUCACUACCAGCAGCAGCAUCACCACUACCAGCCUUUAAUGCAGAUUUCAAUCUCCAGUCAGAGAAUGUGCAGCAGUUUGUUGAGGCACCACCAGCAACAGUAGCAGUACCAGCUGCAGCUGUGUCAGUGGCAGGAGCAGCACCAACAGCAGCACAAACACCAUCAGCACCACAAACACCCAAUGCAAUAACAAUAAAGGCAUUCAUUCAUUUA